UCUCUGGGGCAUCUGAGGGCUGUGUUGCCUACGAGGACUGUGAAGGCUGCGAGGCGUAGGGCAUCUUGGAGGACCUUGGGGGCUGUGAGGGCUUUUAGGGGUUCUGAGGCCUCGCCUUUGAGAGCUCUGAGGGUGUAAUGGCCUCAGUCCGCUGGCGGGUUGGGGGGAGGGUAGUUUGAUUUAGUCUGGGCGGUGCACGGAAGAAAGAACAAAAUUCUAGGGAGGUUUAAUAAAUUUUUGCUACAAACUUCGGGACGUUAAGGUAGAACAAGGAAGCCACAGACAACACGAGGAUGGCGGAGCUGAAGAAGACAUGGGCGCGCUUGUAGAGCGUUGGGAACCCAAGGGAAGCAGGAACGCUGCAAAACCCACUGCCCACUGAGGGAAGAGACAGUGAGGAUGAGCUGAGGGAGACUUGGGGAGCUGGUGGGUUUGGGAGGGCCAGGGGUAGCUCCCACUCAGCAGGAGAAGAGCAGCAUGGUGCCCAGACCCAGCCAGCUGUGCAGUGAGUACAUGUUGGGUGUCCCGUGGGAAUUGUGGAAGUGGAACACGGCCACCAGCCCAGCAUGAUCAGGAUGAAUGCUCCCAAAGCCAGGCUGCCGUGCAGCACCUUCCAGGGAGGCUUGGGGCUGCUCCCGGUGUUGGGAAUGCGGUAAACCAGGGCAGCUGUGAGGGAAAAAGGUCAGGAAGGAGUUGUGCCAGGCUGGCCUUUACCUUCACUGGGCACCAUGUCAUCUGCACCAGGAACACUGGGGCCAGCUGCUGGCCUUAUCAAGGAAGAGCUCUGUCAUACAAUAUCAGGAACCCACCCCAGAAUUCAGAUGCCAUCUCCAGAGUAGAAUACAUCUGGGGGCUGCUCCCAUGCAAAAGGUGUCAGGACAGAAAAGUGUUUCUGGCCUUUACAUCCCCUGGGAAGCCUAAAAUCUGCACCACCAACACUGGGGCUAGGUGCUGUCCUUCCCAAGGAAAAGACUGUGUCAUACAACAUCAGGAACUGACCUCUGAAACACAGAUGCACCCUCCAAAAUAGAAUACAUCCAGGGAUUGCUCCAAAAGAAAAGGUGCCAGGACAGAAAGCUGUUGCUGGCCUUCACCUCCCCCAAGAAGCCAAAACACUAGGGCUGGGUACUUUUGUUCCACAGGAAAGGCAAUGUUAUUGUCUUCCAGUAGCCCACCUCUGAAAUCUGGAUAUCACCUCCAAAACUGAGUUCUUUUGGGGAUUCCUCCCACA